GAGAUCAACUCCUCGAGCUUGCAAUUGACGACGGGCUGAAAAGUAUGUUUGACAUAACAUCUCUGUCGGCAUUUUGGAUCUAAGUCAAGGCUAAAUAUCCUGAGAUAGCCACAAAAGCACUAAAAACGUUGCUUUCAUUUCCAACAUUUUUCUGCAAUGAAUGUAAAGAAAACUAAACUGCGGAAUCGACUGGACAUAAGGAACCCCCUUCGUGUAUCGCUGUCUCCCAUCACCCCUCAAUAGGACUGUGUUGUUGCAGGGAAACAAGCCCAGAGCUCCCACUGAUUCAGCGAUAUUGAUAGAUAUUUGAAAUAUCUUUUGGAUCGGGACUACAGAGCAUCGUGGGAGCUGAAUUCUGAAGGAAGGCAGUUUUUUAAAAAACUUCUUCGAGUGCAAGAAGGACGAGACUGCGCAGGCGCGUGACGUACCAGGACAGCGCGGAGAGUUUAAAAUGGAGACCACCCUAUACAGCGGGCAGCUGUUGGAGCGGGCAACGUGAGUGUAGGGCUUUGGCUUCAACGGGCUUCGGUGGUAAACGGGAAGAGGCAAGAGCGAAGCGUCAACUUUUUUUUUCUGCCCCCCCCCACUUUCGCGAAUCGGCCCAGACAGACAGGAACAGCAGGGUUCUCACAGCUAACGGUUUAAAAAGUUCGUCUGUUUGGCGAGAUUUCUUCGAAAACGUGAUGUUACUGCUGAUCCUAUCCAAAGGACUUAUGGCAAAGGAAAUAAAACGGCUAAAAAGAACUGACAUUUUCCGGUGAAUGAACACUGCACAAACCUUCCUGAUCUUACAGGGGUUAUCUCAGAUGCAGGUCACUAUUCCUGAAUGAAGACUCAAUAAGGUCGAUCCUUUAUGAAACCGCCGAAUGACACCAACUUGUCUCAAUCCUUUGGGUUCCCAUACUUUGGAUCGAACUAAUGGAAUCAUUUGACUAUCAGUAAAAAAAUAAUCAAUUCUGGAAUAUGUAUGAUGGACAUGAGAGAAAAACAAAUAUUCCCUGUCUACUGGAUGAAAAAAAACGCCAAACAUCAACGAUACCACGUUUCAGUAGAAAAGAUUUAAUAAAAACAGCUGAUUUAUUUGGUAUCACUAGUUUAGAAGAUGAAUGAUCUAAAGCUGGAUCUAAACAACAAUUAAAGUCUCCUCCCAUCACCAAUGGGUACAGACUCAGAUCUGGCAAAAAUGGAAAAAAAACGCUCAAAGAAGCCUGGGUCAUCUAUAUUUGGAGCAUACACAUUGGUAAAUACCAUUAAUUUGUUACCUAGCUUCCCUGAUACUAUAACAAAAUGCCUAUUAGUAUCAGAAAUUACUUUAUGUUGAACAAAGGAAACUUUAUUAUCUAUAAGGAUCAAAACGCCUCUGGCUGUGGCCUGCAACGAAGAAUGGAAAUGAGACUUGCCGCAUUGAUUAAAAAGGUGUGAAUUGUCAUAUUUACCUACACGAGUUUCUUGAAGAAAAACAAUUGGUACCUUAAGUUUUUUAAUAUAGGCAAAAAUUUUAUUUCUUUUCACAGGGUGAUUUAGCCCUUUCACGUUAAAACUAAGUAAAUUAGUACUUUGAUCCAUUUUAAAACUAUUUAUAAGAAAGGUUAAAGUAACAAUCAGAAGAGUGUAUAUUAAACCCAAACAAUAAACCUUGAGAUAUGGUAACUCGGCAACAGAGUUGACUAAAUUUCUAAAACAGCUUCAAGAAAAAAACUCCCCAUCCCCUUCCCUCCUCCCAAAGAGAGAAAAUUGGCCAAAAGGCAGCCGAUGCCUACCCCCAAUAAUAUCAUCCCCCCAGAAAAGCCUGCUGGAACUGCUCCAAAGAAUUCAAGGUUGAUUACUGUUCCUACCAAGACAAAGCAAAAUGCAGUAAAAAAUAAGCUUAUACAGUUUUACCAAGCAAAAGAAGCAAUUAUUCAUACUAAAAAUAUUAAACAGUUAUAUUUCUAAGUCUAAAAAUUUCUGAGCCUCUUCGUUCAUAAGAAACCAUUUCUUUAGGCCAUCGUGCAUUGUAAUUCUCAGCCGAGCCAGAUAGUGAAGAGAAAGCUUGAAGUUUUUACUAUUAAGUUCUGCCAUAACUUUUUUUUAACUUAGCACAUUCUUCCAUAACUUCCGAUGAGAAAUGUUCAACAAUAUGAAUCUUCUUACUCUUGUCAAUCACACUUUUCCAACGGGAUUCACGAAUCUAAAGGUCCUUUGUUUGAAAUUCAUGAAAGCAUCUCAUGACCGAUCUUGGUCUUGAUUCUGAAGUCGAUCUAUAAUUAGGCGAUCUGUGAACACGAUCAAUCUAAGGCAAAGACUGUAUAAUAUCUGACUGUGCGAUCAAGAAUCUCCGAAGGGAAGACCCCAAAAUCCCUGGCUUUGCCUGCUGCUGGUGACCAAGGCUGGGGUUGAAGCAUUUGGCAGAGAUGGUGCUCAGUACUCGGUGUCAGAAGGCUGGUUGAAGGCUCGAAGUUUUCGGAUGACUCAGAGUCGGACUGUGGUCGGGCAUGGCAGGGAGAGUUUUCUUCCUUCUCCCGUCUGCGUGAGAUGUGGGACUUUCGAGAGACUUUGAACUUUUUUACUGUGCCCAUGGACUGUUCUUCAUCAAGUUAUGGUGUUGUUGCACUGUUGUAACUAUAUGUUAUAAUUAUGUGGUUUUUUGUUAGUUUUUCGGUCUUUGUCUGUCCUGUGUUUCUGUGAUAUCACACUGGAGGAAUAUUGUAUCAUUUCUUAAUGCAUGCAUUACUAAAUGACAAUAAAAGAGGACUGCGUGUCUUCAUAAUCUAACCUAAUCUAAUCCAAUAUCAGGGAAUAAUUCCAUCAGAAAGUUUGCAAAGAAUUCCUCAGGAUUAUCUCCUUCCGUUAACUCUUUAAGACCCAAGAUUCAUAAGUUGCUUCUCCUAGAUCUAUUUUCCGAAUCAAUAAUCUUCUGUCUCAGUUUUCCAUUGGACAUGGAUAGUUUUUCUUACAGCUUUUGCAGAUCAUCAGUUUCCUUAUCCAGUAUCAUUAUAAUCUCAUCAUGCUCUUUUAUCCUCCUAUCAUGCUCGAUUAAAGUUUCUUGAAUAACACCCAGUUUUGUACCUAUUUGUUUAACUUCAAAGCUGAUUUGUUGUGAAUCGGCCGACACUUCUUUUCUGAACUGAAGAAACUCCUCGGUAAGCUUUUGUGAGUCUGUAGAAAGAUUUUGAAGCAAGCCCUUAAUGGAUUCCAAAACUGCUUUGGUAUCCAUAGUAAGAUAACAACACGUUUAACAGUAAUAUUUCACAAGGAUGGAAACAAAAGAGGAAGCAAACUAAGAGCACUAGGAAAGACCUGUUACUCCAUCAUCGACCAGCAAGCAAGUCCUAUAACAGUACAUUCCACGCUCAUCUCCCUUGCAUAUGAAUACAUUCCACACUGAUCCUCCUAGCAUACCAAUAAGUUCGACACUGAACUCCCUAGCAUAUCAAUAAAUUCAACACUAAUCUAGCAAGCAUAUCAAUACAUUCAACACUGAUCUCCUUUGCAUAUCAGUACAUUCCACACUGGUCUCCCUAGCAUAUCAAUACAUUCGACACUGAUAUCAAUAGCAUAUCAAUACAUUCCACACUGAUCUCCCUAGCAUGUCAAAACAGUCGAUACUGAUUUCCCUGGCAUAGAACUACAUUCCACACUGAUUUCCCUAGCAUAUCAAUACAUUCCACACUGAUCUCCCUUGCAUAUCAAUACAUUCGACACUGAUCUCUCUAGCAAAUCAGUACAUUCCACUUGAUUUCCCGAGCAUAUCAAUACAUUACAGACAAAUCUCCCUGGCAUAACAGUACAUUCCUUUUUCAAUAUUUUUAUUAAUUUUCUAUAUAGGAGAAUACAGAGUUGAAGAAAAAAGAAGUAUAUCAAAUGCAUCAUACUGAAUCGUACAUGAAAACUCCUUACUCUAUAUUCAUACAAAUUGAUUAAUUCAUAAUACUGAAAUAUAGUAAAUUUAUUUUCUGGAAAAAAAAUCUAACUCACCAUCAAGACUGAAGCUGAUUAGUAAAGAAGAAAAAAAAGUAAAACAAAGUAUAUUAUUAGACAUCAUCUGUGCUUGAAUGGCAAAUCAAAGGUUUUGAAAAUAGUUCAAAAAAGGUCCCACAACGUUUGAAAAUCUUGAUUAGAUUCAGAAAUUGAACACCGAAUCUUCUCUAGAUUUAAACAUGACAUCACAUCAUGCAGCCAUUGAACUUGACUGGGUGGGACCGCAUCUUUCCAUUUAAGCAAAAGCACCCUCUUAGGUAUCAGAGAAGUAAAAGCCAAAAUGUACAAAUCAGAUUCCUCCAAAAUAAUAUCCUUUUCUCCAAAAAUACCAAAUAAAUCAGUCAAAGGAUUAGGCUUAAAAUUUACUUUAAAAAGUACCGAGAAGGUUUGAAAUACUUCUUUCCAAUAUUUUUCCAGAUUCUGGCAUGUCCAAAUCAUGGAUGUGUGAAGCUUCUCCAUUAUUACAUUUAUCACAGUAAGGAGAUAUAUCCAAAUAAAAGCAAGACAACUUAUCCUUGGUCAUGUGGGCCCUAUGGACCACAUUCAACUGUAGGAGAGAGUGGUGAGCACAUAACGUUGAAGUGUUAACCAAUUCAAAAAUUUCAUUCCCAGUUUCCUCAGAACUACAAGUCUGUAAGUUUUGUUCCCAAAGAUUUUUAAUUUAUCUCAAGGAACUCUUCUCAGUCUCAGCAACAUAUUAUCAAUAUUAGAUAUAGAUCCAUUAUAAAAAGGCUUCAAAUUAAAAAUUACUUCUAGUAGAUUCUUUUCAGGACUUUUAGGAAAUAUACAUAUUUGAGACCGUAACAUGUCUUUUAUUUGUAAGUAUCAAAAAAAGUGAGUUUUGAGUAAGCUAUAUUUAGCUGACUGUUGCUCGAACAAAAGGAGACUUCCCUCCACAAACAAGUCCUGGAAGCAUUUAAUACUUAAUCGAUCCCAUCCUUUAAAAGCCACAUCUAUCAUAGCAAAUUUUUAAAAAUAAUUAGAAAAAAAUGGGACAAGAAAGAGAAAAUCUCAAUAAGCCAAAGUAUUUUUGGAAUUCUACUCAAAUUCUCAUAGUAUGUUUAAUGACCAAAGAGUCAGUUAACUUACUCAGGGAUAAAGGAACCC